UUAGUUCAUCAUCCGUGGACGGGAUGGCAAUAUGAAGAGAGGAGGUGUUUCUACUCUCAUAAAGCCCAGCGGAACGGGAGGGCGUUGCACCGAACGGCAAUAAAACGAAACCAAGUCCCAAAUGAAAGCUUGAAGGGUAGGCGGCACGGGUUCUCCUUCUCGUCGCUUCCUCCUCCGCCCAUUCUGCUCGUUAGUUCCAUUUGUUAGAUUCCAGUUUAGAUUCAAUUGUUUUAAAUGGGAUCAAUGGAUAAAGCCAUUGAAAUAGAUGUGUUGGAGAGACGAUUGUUGUCAGGUUCAGUUUCAAAUGAAUAUUCUGAAGUUGAUGAAGACACAAUUCUCUACACUGCAUCUUUUGAUGAGAUGGAAGAUAACUAUGUUAAAUACCAAACAGCUCAAUGGAUUCUCUAUUCCUUGCUUUUGGUACUGGCAUGGGGAAUUGGGGUUUUAAUGUUGCUAUAUUUGCCAGUACGAAGAUAUGUCUUACGGAAGGACUUCCGUUCUCGCAAGCUAUAUGUGACUCCUAAUGCUAUUGUGUACAAGGUUUCAAGACCAGUACCUUUUCCUUGUUUUGGAGUUUUGAAGAAAGAGAAGCAUGUGCUGCUAGCAUCAGUUGCAGAUAUAGUUAUUGAACAAGGAUACCUUCAAUCCUUCUUUGGGAUAUAUUCUGUCAGAAUACAUAAUGAAGGUGUAAGAAGGAUUGCGAAUGACGAUUUUCAGAUCCAAGGAGUUUCUGAUCUAAGGGCUUUCCGUAAGGCUAUUUUAAUGCAUCUUUCAAAUAUAAGGAGUGAUGGUUUCAACAGGCAAAUUUCUGUAAAUGAAGAUCCUCAGACAUUUGGUUCUUGUCCUCCAUCUGGUUCUUGGAUAGCCCCUCCUGGAGAUCUGAUAUUGCAGAGACUUGAGGAGGUUGGAAGUUCAAUAAAGGUAUGACUGGUAUAUUGUUGCUUAUCUUCAGCAAUCAAAUGUUGAUUGUUGCACCUCCACAAAUGCUCACCCAAGGCAGGGGGAAACAUUUCCUCUCAUCCUAUCUGAAGGUGCAGACUUUAAUUGAGAAGAAGCCCGAAGCAUCAGAAAUCAUGGACUAACAUCAUCAAAGUCUGUGAGGAAGAUGCUUCUAACGAGUGGUGUUUAAUUGCAUCAAAUUGUUCGUUUGUCAGUACCUUUUGAAGUUGUGCUAUCUUUGUUCUCCUGAACAUUUAGCAUCUAAGUAGUUGUUCUCUGAUGAUUGAAGUCGCAUAGGCCCAUGAUAUCCUUCCCAAAGCUCCUGUUGGACAUCCACUUCCUGGUGUCCUUUUCAAUUGAGACAACAUAGAAGAUAUCAACGUGUUUAGCUUUUCAAGUAGCCAGAAUAGUAGAUUCUUGAUUUUAGGCAUCACCACCCCUACGGAACAUGAUGUUUUUCUCUUGUGCACUUAUCGUCUUCCUUUUGACCGUUACAGGAUGAUGAUGGGUGUGCAAUUGUUCUCUCCUGGUGCUGAUGUAUCCACUGCUGAUCAUAAUAACCAUCUUCACCACCCGAAGAGGUCAAUCCUGCUUAACUCUUUACACUUGCAUCUUGGUUGUGACCAUCUUAGAAUAUUUUGUUCUUGCAAAUGUAACAACGUAGAAACAUAAAAGAUAAUCCAUGAAGCUAUACAGAAGAUAUCUUUCGACU